GCUGAGUUCUAAAGUUUGCAUAUUGAAUGAAAAGAAAAACAAACCCUCAAGACUUCUACUUCUCGACUCUAACCAGCUGAAAAGAUAUGCAGGUCUCUGGUCUGCAGUUCUUUGACUACUGUCUUCGAAAACAAAAGCACUGGGUGAACAGUUGGCUUGGGACACCUGGUUAAAAUGAGUAAACUGCCUUGGUUGCCACAGCCAGAACCUGCUGCCCUUCUAAGAACAGGCUGAACUUCAUGUGCUCCUUAAUAGUAUUUCCCAUGAUGUCAAUUGUGAUUUAUUCUGCCAUUCUCUCUGGCUGUGGUCUGUGGGAGCAAAGCCAGAAGAUUAAGAGAGAGUUAAUGAAUUAGUAGUUGCAAACACAAAUUUGGAAUUAUUAGAGCCCAAGGCUGUUAUGAGAUGUCACAGCUCUCAAAAGAGGUGCUAAAACCUAAGGCAUCAUUUAGCUCCAUAACACUGUAACACUGUUGUUUAGAUAUUGUGGUCCAAAUUCAGUGUCACGUGGCAGUAAAGGAAAGAUUUAGUCACUUCUUUUGAUGUUGUCUUGUUGAAUCUCUGACUUAAUAGUUUCCAAAUGUUUUCACAUAAACUGAUUAUGCAGCUGCUGCUGGUUUCUGCAUUUCAGCAGCUCUAAAUGUGGGGCCCUUAGGAGAGCAUAAAAGUAGAUUUGGGGCUGCCUUGGCACUAUUGGUUUUAGGCCUGCCUGGCAGUGAUCACAGCUCGUGUGGCUGCAGAGCUCUUGGCUGGUACUGCACAAUCUGAAAUUGAUCCACAUAUUUGCUCUACAUCUGCUCUUCCCUGUGCAGAACCUCAGGAAUAGUAUUAGUAAUGACCAUGGGAGUGAAAAUUGCCCAUAAGGAAGAGGAGCAUAUGUUACACAGUAAAUACAAAUAUUUCUGAAACAAAGUUACAUUGUGGGAAUAAUAAGAUGGUGAAUGCUUGCACAUCAAGAUUUACAUAUCACUGAUGGGUUUUGUGUUAACUUUUUGUGCCCUUGAGAGGCUUUGCAGAAAUCUGAGCCCUUCUGUGCUGGGAUGCAUCAAGUAAAUUACCAGCAUAAACAGUGAGAUUGGUGCCAAGCUAAAUGUGGGCACUGCAACGAAUAUUUGUGUUUCCAACUGGAUUAAUGUACUUUUAAUAGAUGUAUAGACACAGGAUGAAAUAUUUAAAAUUGCUUGACAUUAAUUGACAGUUAAAUAUUUGUUAGUGUGGCUUGCUUUUGAGAAGUAGGAAGCCCUUGUGAUUUUCCCUUCUGUGUCACUGUAAUCAAUGGACACUGCUUUGCCAUUAAGUUCAGCAAAUGUAGGACUGAGAACAAAUUAACUCAUCACUAUACACCAGUUCUUUACAGUAGAGGAGGCAGGAUGAGUUGGAUUUGUGAUUGCUGCACCUGUGACCGUGGAAAAGGAUCUAUGCCAUGUUGGCUAAUGAAAUAAUGGUAUUAAAUAUUAUCUCCUUGAAUCACUAUCUUUGUUCAAGCUAGUACAAUACCAUUUUUCUGGACAGAAUUACUCCUAUUUUUUCAUAGUUAGAGCAGAAGAGCAUGGAAUAAGUAAGAUUAAAAAACAAUUGUUGUAAUUACUGUCAUUUCUGAAAGCAAAUUACUAUAGCAAACCAAUAGUUUAAAAGGAGUAGGCUUUCCUGAGUUACAUGACAAUUAUAUGUGAGCUGCCAUAUUUUUUGUAGUCAACAAAACAAAUGCAUACACAUAGUUUUGUUCAUUUGUUCCAAGAGGGUCUGUGAAUAAUGAUAGACUCAUAAAAGCUAAUUACAGUUAACUCCCAAAACAACUGGUCGUGUGAGAUAGUAACUGAAAAAUCUAUAAACAUCUCAAAAGUCUGUGAGUCUGACAAUGUGAAUACAAAUUUAAGUAUAAAUUUAUACUUGGGUAUUUUAUUCAAAUAGGUUUUAAAACUGUCUUUGCAGUGCAUCCCCUGGCAUGGACAAAACAAUCACUAUGCUGCCAUGGCAAGAAGUGCCCUAAUGAAGGGUAUUUGAACACUGAGUGCUGUAGAUGUAUACACCAGUCUGGGGAUCAUGGGAUUUUCUGUGCUAUAUACACUGUGUUACCCUGGAGUCCUCUCAAAUAUGUACAAGAUCAAAGAACUUUUCUGUUAGCUACUUUUAAUUUAGGAUUUCUGACCCCAGUGGUUCUAUCAGCUUGAUUGCUUUCUGUUUAAAAGAAUUCAUAAAUGUGUAAUAUAUAAAUAUAGAGCAACAUGUGGAGCAACGUAUGUAUAAAUUGAUUUUAUUAUUGUUGCCUGCUGUAGGAUUCUCCCCUAUACCCUCUGAAAUAUGAUUGAGACAUAGCACUCUGAGAUUUCCCAGAGUGAGAACUCUGUACAGAAAUUAUUUAUUUAGAAAAGUUGUAGUUACCUUCAUGUAAUUCUGAUUUUAAGUACGUACCUUUUUGCAACAGUCCUGUUCAUCUGCCAUUACAGGCACUUGUGGAUACUAUCCUAAGUGGUUUUACUGCAGUUUUCUUUGAUUUUAUUUCCUAAUUUUCAUUAAAAUAAUAUUUUUCAUUAAUUUAGUUGGCUCCCCUAUCUGGCACCUUUACCUUCAACUGAGGAGAUAGCUGGAAUGUUUGAUAGCCACAUGGAUACCCUGGGAGGGGAUGUCCUCCUGGGGAGCUGUGGUGCAACCACACCACUGCUGUCCUGAGGGAUAAAGGAAUGAACAUCAGCUCAGGGGAGCACCACUGAUCUGUGAGAGCCUGAUGAGAAUGAAAGGGGAUCUCAGAUGACUCAACCUUCACAAACCUGGAAGUGCACAGGCAGAAAUUUUCUCGAUAUUGUCUUUCAGUUUUUGACAAAUAUCUCACUGCCUCAGGCAUAGGGUUUGCAGAUGAUGUUGUAUCCUAACAAUAUGUACGGUUAAAGCUUUGUCAAAACAAGUACCAAUGCGCUCUUAAAACAGUUUUGAUCAUCUAAAUCACUGAUUAGCCUCAUACUUUCUUUUUUUUCUUUCCUUCUCUCUAGGCAUACUUACAGCCUAUGUAUGAAUCCACAGGGCUGCCAGUCUUGUUCACUCAUUGUUCAGUUGUUGAAAUUAUUUUCCUUUCUUGUUCUUCAAGCCAUUUAUCACAGGCUCUCCUUUAUUUUCAUGCUUUGGUUGGAACAUACAACUAGGAUCCACAGCUCUGCUGCACAGACUGUGUCAUAGUUAAAGGAUAUAUUGGAUUACAGGGUUUUCUUUAUGCGCAAGAAAAUCUGACUUUUCAUGGUUUUAAACUCCAUUGAAUGUUGAAGUAACUUUGAUUAGUCUACAAAUCUCUUGACAGCAGUUUUGUUCCAUGGUUUAUGAUUAUCCUUUUUUUUCUCCUCUCUGUACUGUGGUCUGAAUUAGUAUGCUGAUUUGUGAAAACAUUACUGUGUUUUACUUUAAUCAGAUUUCACUUGUACGCUUCAGAUAAAUUUUACUUUUAGGAAUUUUAUACAAUGUGCAAUAAUUAAAACAGCCUAGGCAGCAUGGAACAGAUGUGAAAACAUCCCACCUUCAGGGCAGGUAUCAUUUCCUAUCCCUAGCUGUGAGGCCACCAUCCUUGAUGACAUGCUACCAGCUUUUUACCACUCUAGCUGUAACUCAAUAUCUGGCAGGACCACUGAGGAUCCAGAAAGACAAGUGCUUGUUGAUGCAGUGGACAAACCAAAGAGAGCAGAGCAUUUUGUGUCAUGGAAAUCCACCUUGUGACAGUAAUGAUGGACUUGACAUGUUCUGUGUCCUCUUCCUGGUAGGUGUUGGCUCACAGCCUGUGUAAAGAUCAGACAUCCACACUUUAGCACAGGUUGGCAUUUCUUCUUUAAACUUAUUUUAUCUUUUAAACUUGCUUUUUUAAACUUGCUUUUUUAAAACUUGCUUUUUUAAAAAUGUGCUUUAAACUUAUUUUAUCUUUUAGUGAAAUUAGCUAAACAGAUUAUUGUCCUGAUAUACUAAUACAUUGUCUUUCCUUUUAUUUCCUUUUAUUUCCUAUUUAUUUCCUUGUAUUACAACUUAUAUCCUUUUUCACUCUUUCUGUGGAACAGUUUCACUGAGGCACAGUUCCAAAUUCUUCCUGUUAUCAGUCUACUCAUGUUAAGAAGAGCUUUAGGAAAUAAGAUGUAAUUUGCUCUUUUAUGUACACAAAAACCACUGUGCUAUGAAUAUGUAUUGAGAACAUUGAGAAGAAAAUUUAGAAUUGUCAGUAAUAAUUGUUCUAGUUGAUUCCAAGAAUACUUUCAUACUUUAAAAUCAUUAGGACUUUUAAAACUAUGUGGGGUAUUGCAGUGAAUAAGAAGUGCACACUUCAUGAGAAUGAGUGUAAGAGAAAUUUAUGCUCAAAACCACACCAUUGGAACUUUAAAAAUAUAGCUAUAGUAGACAAAUAAUGGAAACAAAGCCAUACAUCAGUCUUCGUGACAACUCCUGAGACAGGUGAAACACAAAUUGCAUCUUCUAAGACCAAAUAAAACUUUUAAGGAAAUAUCUGGGCCAAAUUUUAAUGAAGACUAGCCAGAGAUGCUAAAUUUUUGUUAUUGGUAACACAAUUAGUAGGAAAAAGAAAUAAAAAA
rnacentral:lncRNA from 1 species